GCAGAGAACAGGAAUCUAUAAACUCAUACCACAAGAGAAAGGAAAAUUUGUUUUUCUCCUCCCUACGUUGAGGGAGUGCUAGGAUAGACUUCAGGCCACAUUAGAUAGUAUUAUCAAGACUUUCCCUGGGUCUGGGCUGUACGUGUUGCUGCUUCUGGGACAAGUCAGCCUAACACAGGAAAACUUAUUUCUUUUUUUUAAAUUUUCUUUUUCUUUCUUUCUUUAAUUUCCCACCUCAGCACAUGUCUGGUGAUAGGCACAGGAAGAUGCCUAACUUCCUUUCCCUAAUUAGGACGUCACAAUUAGCGGCAACCCGCUUUACAAGUGAAAUAUCCCUGCGUUAUUGAAGCGAACUGGAGUCCCCCACCCAGCACAGCAAAGCCAAACACUGACAUGGGGCUAGCAGCGAGAGAAAAUGAGGAAAUUUUUGAAGGGCACCAAGCAAGGACAUUCAGGCAGCUCAUGCUUCAGGCCUGCACUCCCUGAUGGCUUACAGGGUCUUGCUCUGUCACCCAAACUGGAGUGCAGUGGUGUGAUUAUGGCUCACUGCAGCCUUGACCUCCCAGGCUCGAGCAAUCCUCCCAACUCAGCUUCCUGAGUAGCUGGGACUACAGGUGUGCACCACCAUGCCCAGGUUUCCUUUGUGGCUGAGCACAUGAUUAAUUUUGAAUAUGCCGUCAGCAAACAAAAAG